rnacentral:rRNA from 1 species
GGUUAAGCGACUAAGCGUACACGGUGGAUGCCCUGGCAGUCAGAGGCGAUGAAGGACGUGCUAAUCUGCGAAAAGCGUCGGUAAGGUGAUAUGAACCGUUACAGCCGGCGAUGUCCGAAUGGGGAAACCCAGUGCAAUUCGUUGCACUAUCGUUAACUGAAUACAUAGGUUAACGAGGCGAACCGGGGGAACUGAAACAUCUAAGUACCCCGAGGAAAAGAAAUCAACCGAGAUUCCCCCAGUAGCGGCGAGCGAACGGGGAGCAGCCCGGAGUCUGAAUCAGCUUGUGUGUUAGUGGAAGCGUCUGGAAAGUCGCAGGGUACAGGGUGAUACUCCCGUACACUAAAACACACAGGCUGUGAACUCGAAGAGUAGGGCGGGACACGUGGUAUCCUGUCUGAAUAUGGGGGGACCAUCCUCCAAGGCUAAAUACUCCUGACUGACCGAUAGUGAACCAGUACCGUGAGGGAAAGGCGAAAAGAACCCCGGCGAGGGGAGUGAAAAAGAACCUGAAACCGUGUACGUACAAGCAGUAGGAGCCCACUAGUUGGGUGACUGCGUACCUUUUGUAUAAUGGGUCAGCGACUUAUAUUCUGUAGCAAGGUUAACCGUAUAGGGGAGCCGCAGGGAAACCGAGUCUUAACUGGGCGUUAAGUUGCAGGGUAUAGACCCGAAACCCGGUGAUCUAGCCAUGGGCAGGUUGAAGGUUGGGUAACACUAACUGGAGGACCGAACCGACUAAUGUUGAAAAAUUAGCGGAUGACUUGUGGCUGGGGGUGAAAGGCCAAUCAAACCGGGAGAUAGCUGGUUCUCCCCGAAAGCUAUUUAGGUAGCGCCUCGUGAACUCAUCUUCGGGGGUAGAGCACUGUUUCGGCUAGGGGGUCAUCCCGACUUACCAACCCGAUGCAAACUACGAAUACCGAAGAAUGUUAUCACGGGAGACACACGGCGGGUGCUAACGUCCGUCGUGAAGAGGGAAACAACCCAGACCGCCAGCUAAGGUCCCAAAGUCAUGGUUAAGUGGGAAACGAUGUGGGAAGGCCCAGACAGCCAGGAUGUUGGCUUAGAAGCAGCCAUCAUUUAAAGAAAGCGUAAUAGCUCACUGGUCGAGUCGGCCUGCGCGGAAGAUGUAACGGGGCUAAACCAUGCACCGAAGCUGCGGCAGCGACACUAUGUGUUGUUGGGUAGGGGAGCGUUCUGUAAGCCGUUGAAGGUGGCCUGUGAGGGUUGCUGGAGGUAUCAGAAGUGCGAAUGCUGACAUAAGUAACGAUAAUGCGGGUGAAAAACCCGCACGCCGGAAGACCAAGGGUUCCUGUCCAACGUUAAUCGGGGCAGGGUGAGUCGACCCCUAAGGCGAGGCCGAAAGGCGUAGUCGAUGGGAAACAGGUUAAUAUUCCUGUACUUGGUGUUACUGCGAAGGGGGGACGGAGAAGGCUAUGUUGGCCGGGCGACGGUUGUCCCGGUUUAAGCAUGUAGGCGGAUGUUCCAGGUAAAUCCGGAACGUUAUUAACGCUGAGGUGUGAUGACGAGGCACUACGGUGCUGAAGUGACAAAUGCCCUGCUUCCAGGAAAAGCCUCUAAGCAUCAGGUAACAUCAAAUCGUACCCCAAACCGACACAGGUGGUCAGGUAGAGAAUACCAAGGCGCUUGAGAGAACUCGGGUGAAGGAACUAGGCAAAAUGGUGCCGUAACUUCGGGAGAAGGCACGCUGAUGGUAAGUGAAGUGACUUGCUCAUGGAGCUGAAAUCAGUCGAAGAUACCAGCUGGCUGCAACUGUUUAUUAAAAACACAGCACUGUGCAAACACGAAAGUGGACGUAUACGGUGUGACGCCUGCCCGGUGCCGGAAGGUUAAUUGAUGGGGUUAUCCUCACGGAGAAGCUCUUGAUCGAAGCCCCGGUAAACGGCGGCCGUAACUAUAACGGUCCUAAGGUAGCGAAAUUCCUUGUCGGGUAAGUUCCGACCUGCACGAAUGGCGUAAUGAUGGCCAGGCUGUCUCCACCCGAGACUCAGUGAAAUUGAACUCGCUGUGAAGAUGCAGUGUACCCGCGGCAAGACGGAAAGACCCCGUGAACCUUUACUAUAGCUUGACACUGAACACUGGUCCUUGAUGUGUAGGAUAGGUGGGAGGCUUUGAAGUGUGGACGCCAGUCUGCAUGGAGCCGUCCUUGAAAUACCACCCUUUAAUGGCUGGUGUUCUAACGUGGGCCCGUGAUCCGGGUUGCGGACAGUGUCUGGUGGGUAGUUUGACUGGGGCGGUCUCCUCCUAAAGAGUAACGGAGGAGCACGAAGGUCAGCUAAUCCUGGUCGGACAUCAGGAGGUUAGUGCAAUGGCAUAAGCUGGCUUGACUGCGAGCGUGACGGCGCGAGCAGGUGCGAAAGCAGGUCAUAGUGAUCCGGUGGUUCUGAAUGGAAGGGCCAUCGCUCAACGGAUAAAAGGUACUCCGGGGAUAACAGGCUGAUACCGCCCAAGAGUUCAUAUCGACGGCGGUGUUUGGCACCUCGAUGUCGGCUCAUCACAUCCUGGGGCUGAAGUAGGUCCCAAGGGUAUGGCUGUUCGCCAUUUAAAGUGGUACGCGAGCUGGGUUUAGAACGUCGUGAGACAGUUCGGUCCCUAUCUGCCGUGGGCGCUGGAGAAUUGAGGGGGGCUGCUCCUAGUACGAGAGGACCGGAGUGGACGCAUCACUGGUGUUCGGGUUGUCAUGCCAAUGGCAUUGCCCGGUAGCUAAAUGCGGAAGAGAUAAGUGCUGAAAGCAUCUAAGCACGAAACUUGCCCCGAGAUGAGUUCUCCCUGACUCCUUGAGAGUCCUGAAGGAACGUUGAAGACGACGACGUUGAUAGGCCGGGUGUGUAAGCGCAGCGAUGCGUUGAGCUAACCGGUACUAAUGAACCGUGAGGCUUAACCUU